rnacentral:misc_RNA from 1 species
GUUGAAACAUCAUACAUGGACACAUAAUUGGAAAUGACUUGAAUGUCUAUCACCUCUAACAAUACACAACUUAUGUCACCCUGAAUAAAUACUUCUUUACAGUGCUUUUAACAUGUUCACAUCAUCUGAAAAUCAUUUCUUUCAAGUAAAUAUUGUGAUCACUUCACAAGAGUCUUGAUUUGCACUGUUUAUCUUAAUGCCCUUCAUCCAUGGGAUCACUUCUGUUGCACGUUUGAGAUCUUAAAUCCUUCUCAUCUUGCCUUGAUUCAUUGGAACCUGAUCCCUUGGAAACAGAAUCUUCUAGGGCCUCCAGAAAAGAUGGAACCGUCAACUUAUAUUGGCUUGGAUCAAUUCCAAACUGAGUCAGAUCUAUUUGUCCAGUUCGAAGAACAUAAGUAAAUGAAUCUAACUGCUGACGGAACGGAGGACUCUGUAGCAAUUCCAUUAAUUCAUAUGGUGUCCAAUGACCCUCUGGCAAGUGUGAAGCUAGUUGUUCUUCUAGUGGUAUUUCCUCGAUCAGUGGUAAUAUGAGCUCAGGCCUCAAAAUAUCUCCCAAUCCCAAUCCUGCAUCAGGAUCUACAGCUUCAUCUGAGGACCCUAUAUUACUCAAUAUUCUUUGAAGAUCAGACAACUUUACUGGGCCUGAAGAUGUCACAUCGCUACUUGCUUCAGUAUUCAUGCUUGCGCUAACCAAAUUCCCCGCCCUCGAUGAAAUAUCUUCUUCUACCAUAUCUUCAGAAUUUGGUAAAGGAGCUGAAGCUUCAGGCUCAUCUUCGCCAGGAAACUCUAGUGGUUGAUUCAAGUAGAAGUUGACUGAGCUACAUAACUGUGCAUCAUUGUCAGCUGCUGGCUCCUGCAUCCAAAAGAAAAGCCUUCUAUCGUCGGUACAGAACUUCAAAAUGUAAACCCUUCCAGAUGAUUGAUUGACCUUCUCAAAGACUGCCUCCUCUGGGAAAACAAUCUGAUCAUCUUCAACAAUGUUGAGAUUACGGUCAAGCCACUGAAAAUGGAGUAGUCCCUCUUCACCCCUGCCUAUACGAACAAGUCCUUUCCGUGAAUCAGGGAUAACCUUUUUGCCCUCCAUGAGCAUUUUACCAGCACGAAAUUCCAUCAAAGUUUCCUGAAUUUGGGGAAAAGCGUCCGUUGACGAAGAACCCAUUGAUUCUCCAAUGUAUAAACAAAGAACUGAAAACGAAACACUCUAUCACUGUGCUCAGAUGAGAGAGAAGAUUCGUACAGUUUUG